rnacentral:tRNA from 1 species
ACCUGGGAUAGCUCAGUCGGUAGAGCAGGAGACUCUUGAUCUCAGGGCUGUGGGUUCGAGCCCCAUGUUGGGCA